rnacentral:rRNA from 1 species
UACGUAGGUGGCAAGCGUUGUCCGGAAUUACUGGGCGUAAAGCGUGCGCAGGCGGUUUUGUAAGCCAGAUGUGAAAUCCCCGGGCUUAACCUGGGAAUGGCAUUUGGGACUGCAAGGCUUGAGUGCGGCAGAGGGGGGUAGAAUUCCACGUGUAGCAGUGAAAUGCGUAGAGAUGUGGAGGAAUACCGAUGGCGAAGGCAGCCCCCUGGGAUAACACUGACGCUCAUGCACGAAAGCGUGGGGAGCAAACAGG